rnacentral:rRNA from 1 species
AUGCCUUCCCUCGCCUCCCUCGGCCACACCAUCACCGAAAAGCUUACGCGCGAAAACUUUCUGGUGUGGAAGGCUCAAGUGCUCCCGCACGUCAGGGCCGCGGCGAUGAUGGGCUACCUUGACGGCUCGAUCAAGGAGCCCGCCGCUGUCAUCGUCACCGAGAAGGACAACGACGGAAAGAAGGAGAUCACCGAGACGCCCAACCCAGAACACGCGAUCUGGGUCACUCAAGAUCAGCAGGUGCUUACCUUCUUGCUCACCUCUCUAUCCCGCGAGGUUCUGAUGCAGGUUUCCAACCACACCACCGCCGCGGGAGUCUGGCAAGCCUUGGUGGAAAGCUUUUCUGCCCAAUCCCGGGCGCGCCAGAUACAGCUUCAUUCUGCGAUCGGGAACGCACGCAAGGGCAACCUCUCUGCUGCCGCCUACUUCACCAAGAUGAAGGGGCUCGCCGACGAGCUAGCUGCUGCAGGAAAACCGCUUGAUGAAGAUGAUGUCGUCUCGCACAUCGUGGAGGGGCUCAUGCAUGAGCCCGACUACAACGGCUUCGUCGCCUCCAUCUCCACGCGCGCCAUCACCGAUCAACCGAUCGGCCUCAGCGAGCUCUUCUCGCUACUGCUCGUCGCUGAGUCUCGGAUCGCCGCCUAG